AAAUUGAAGAGUUUGAUCAUGGCUCAGAUUGAACGCUGGCGGCAGGCCUAACACAUGCAAGUCGAACGGUAACAGGAAUCAGCUUGCUGAUUCGCUGACGAGUGGCGGACGGGUGAGUAAUGUCUGGGAAACUGCCUGAUGGAGGGGGAUAACUACUGGAAACGGUAGCUAAUACCGCAUAAUGUCGCAAGACCAAAAAGGGGGACCUUCGGGCCUCUUGCCAUCAGAUGUGCCCAGAUG
rnacentral:rRNA from 1 species